rnacentral:tRNA from 1 species
GGGGUAUUAGCUCAGUUCGGGAGAGCGCCUGCCUUGCAAGCAGGAGGUCAGCGGUUCGAUCCCGCUAUACUCCACCA